rnacentral:rRNA from 1 species
UAUGAUCCAGAGUACCACGGGACACGUGAAACCCUGUGGGAAGCAGGAGGGACCACCCUCCAAGGCUAAAUACUACCUAGUGACCGAUAGCGUAUAGUACCGUGAGGGAAAGGUGAAAAGAACCCCGGGAGGGGAGUGAAAUAGAACCUGAAACCCUGCACUUACAAGCUGUGGAAGCACAUUUCUUGUGUGACCGCGUACUUUUUGUAGAACGGGCCAACGAGUUACGUUAAGUAGCAAGGUUAAGCACUUAAGGUGCGGAGCCGUAGCGAAAGCGAGUUUUAACUGAGCGUUCAGUUACUUGACGUAGACCCGAAACCGGGCGACCUACCCAUGAGCAGGAUGAAGCGAAAGUAAAAUUUCGUGGAGGUCCGAACCCACGAGCGUUGAAAAGCUCGGGGAUGACUUGUGGGUAGCGGUGAAAUUCCAAUCGAGCCCGGAGAUAGCUGGUUCUCCCCGAAAUAGCUUUAGGGCUAGCCUCAAGGUGAGAGAUACGGAGGUAGAGCACUGAAUGUCCUAGGGGGUAUUGCACCUACCGAAGACUAUCAAACUCCGAAUGCCGUCAUCUUAUACUUGGGAGUCAGACUGUGGGUGAUAAGAUUCAUAGUCGAAAGGGCAACAGCCCAGAUCGUCAGCUAAGGUCCCUAAAUGUAAGUUAAGUGGUAAAGGAUGUGGGAUUGCACAGACAACCAGGAUGUUGGCUUAGAAGCAGCCACUCAUUCAAAGAGUGCGUAAUAGCUCACUGGUCGAGUGAUCCUGCGCCGAAGAUUUCCGGGGCUAAAACUUACUACCGAAGCUACGGCAUCAGUAAUGAUGGGUAGGGGAGCUUCCCAUACGGGUUGAAGCAUGACCGUAAGGACAUGUGGACAGUAUGGGAGUGAGAAUGUUGGCAUGAGUAGCGAGAUGUGGGUGAGAAUCCCACAGGCCGUAAACCCAAGGUUUCCAGGGGAAGGUUCGUCCGCCCUGGGUUAGUCGGGACCUAAGCUGAGGCCGGAAGGCGUAGGUGAUGGACAACAGGUUGAUAUUCCUGUACUACCGAUAACCAUUUGAGAGAUGGGAUGACACAGUAGGAUAAGCUAAGCACACUGUUGGUUAUGUGUGCCCAAGCAUUGAGGCAG